UCACUCUCUCUCUCUCUCUCCCUCUCCGAAACAAAAGCAGGAAACACACUUAUCGCUCUGCCUUUCAUUGCUAGGUGAAGUUUUUUCUAGCCAUGGAUGGUGGUGCAUCCUAUAAUCCACGUACGGUUGAGGAGGUCUUUAGAGAUUUCAAGGGCCGUAGAGCUGGAAUGAUUAAAGCUCUCACUACUGAUGUUGAAGAGUUCUUCCAACAGUGUGAUCCUGAGAAAGAAAAUCUUUGUCUAUAUGGAUUUCCCGGUGAGCAGUGGGAGGUCAAUCUGCCUGCUGAAGAGGUUCCUCCAGAGCUUCCAGAGCCUGCUUUGGGUAUUAAUUUUGCCAGAGAUGGGAUGCAAGAA
rnacentral:misc_RNA from 1 species